GAUGAACGCUGGCGGCGUGCCUAAUACAUGCAAGUCGAGCGCAGGGAGGAGAAGCUUGUAUCGCUGAGAUUAGCGGCGAACGGGUGAGUAACACGUGGAUAACCUACCUAUAAGACUGGGAUAACUUCGGGAAACCGAAGCUAAUACCGCAUGAUAUUUUGAAACACAUGGUUCAAGAGUGAAAGACGGACUUGCUUCACCUUAUAAUGGUACCCGGGUUUCAUUAGCUAUUUGGGAGGGAAAGGGCUUACCAGGCGAAGGAUGAAUGCCCGCCCGGAGAGGGGGACGGGCCAAACGGGAACGGAGACCGGGCCAAGACCCUUACGGGAGGCAGCAGAGGGGAAUUUUCCGCAAUGGGCGAAAGCCUGACGGAGCAACGCCGCGUGAGUGAUGAAGGUCUUCGGAUCGUAAAACUCUGUUAUUAGGGAAGAACAUAUGUGUAAGUAACUGUGCACAUCUUGACGGUACCUAAUCAGAAAGCCACGGCUAACUACGUG
rnacentral:rRNA from 1 species